rnacentral:rRNA from 1 species
CACGCCGUAAACGAUGAUAACUAGCUGUUCGGGCUCUCAGAGCCUGAGUGGCGCAGCUAACGCAUUAAGUUAUCCGCCUGGGGAGUACGGUCGCAAGAUUAAAACUCAAAGGAAUUGACG